rnacentral:rRNA from 1 species
AGCGAACGUUAGCGGCAGGCCUAACACAUGCAAGUCGAGCGAGAAAGGGGGUUUCGGCCCUGAGUAAAGCGGCGGACGGGUGCGUAACACGUGGAUAAUCUGCCCUUCGGCGGGGGAUAACAGUCCGAAAGGAUUGCUAAUACCGCAUGCGUCCAGGGAGGCUCCGGCUUUCCUGGGGAAAGGAGGGCGCCCGCAAGGGGCUCUCACCGGAGGAGGAGUCCGCGGCCCAUCAGCUAGUUGGCGGGUAACAGACCACCAAGGCGUAGACGGGUAGCUGGUCUGAGAGGAUGAUCAGCCACACUGGGACUGAGACACGGCCCAGACUCCUACGGGAGGCAGCAGUGGGGAAUAUUGGACAAUGGGCGCAAGCCUGAUCCAGCCAUACCGCGUGGGUGAAG